rnacentral:misc_RNA from 1 species
GAUGAAGAACGUAGUGAAAUGCGAUAAGUAGUGUGAAUUGCAGAAUUCAGUGAAUCAUCGAAUCUUUGAACGCACAUUGCGCCCCUUGGUAUUCCAUGGGACAUGCCUGUUCGAGCGUCAUUUGUACCUUCAAGCUUUGCUUGGUGUUGGGUGUUUGUCCAUUCUCUUGCAGAGGGACUCGCCUUAAAGUAAUUGGCAGCCAGUGUUUUGGUUUUGAAGCGCAGCACAAGUCGCGAUUCAAAGCUAUACGCCCGCUUCCACAAGCCUUUUUCACUUUUGACCUCGGAUCAGGUAGGGAUACCCGCUGAACUUAAGCAUAUCAAUAAGCGGAGGA